UUUCUACUCCCUCCGAUUCAUAUUAAUUGUCGAAAUAAUACAUGUAUCUAGACGCUUUUUAGAUAUAUAGAUGCAUUCAUAUUUGGACAAAUUUGAGACAAUUAAUAUGGAUUGGAGGGAGUACUAA
rnacentral:pre_miRNA from 1 species